rnacentral:rRNA from 1 species
GACGAACGCUGGCGGCGUGCUUAACACAUGCAAGUCGAACGGAAAGGCCCUGCUUUUGUGGGGUGCUCGAGUGGCGAACGGGUGAGUAACACGUGAGUAACCUGCCCUUGACUUUGGGAUAACUUCAGGAAACUGGGGCUAAUACCGGAUAGGAGCUCCUGCUGCAUGGUGGGGGUUGGAAAGUUUCGGCGGUUGGGGAUGGACUCGCGGCUUAUCAGCUUGUUGGUGGGGUAGUGGCUUACCAAGGCUUUGACGGGUAGCCGGCCUGAGAGGGUGACCGGCCACAUGGGGACUGGGAUACGGCCCAGACUCCUACGGGGGGCAGGGGUGGGGAAUAUUGCAAAAGGGGCGGAAGCCGGGUGCAGCAACGCCGGGGGGGGGAGGACGGCCUUCGGGUUGUAAACCGCUUUCGCCUGGGACGAAGGGGGAGUGAGGGUAAUGGGAAAAGAAGCACCGGCUAACUACGU